rnacentral:tRNA from 1 species
GACCACGUAGCUCAGUUGGCAGAGCAUUGGGCUAGUCUUCCAAAGGUUGUAGGUUCGAUUCCCACCGUGGCCG